AUCGGCGUAGCUCAACAGGUAGAGCGGCGGUCUCCAAAACCGUGUCAGCGAGGGCCCAUGAGCCCUCCGUGUGGGUUCGAGUCCCACCGCCGGUGCCA
rnacentral:tRNA from 1 species